rnacentral:rRNA from 1 species
GACGAACGCUGGCGGCGUGCUUAACACAUGCAAGUCGAACGAAGUGGCGAACGGGUGAGUAACGCGUACACCACCUGCCAUUCAGAGGGGGACAACAGUUGGACACGACUGCUAAUACCGCAUACUGAAGGUGGGGAUUGCGUCUGAUUAGCUAGUGGGAGGGGUAACGGCCGACCAAGGCGAUGAUCAGUAGCCGGUCUGAUAGGAUUAACGGCCACAUUGGGACUGAGAAACGGGCCAGACUCCUACGGGAGGCAGCAGGGGGGAAUCUUCCGCAAUGGACGAAAGUCUGACGGAGCAACGCAGCGGGGGUGAUGACGGCCUUCGGGUUGUAAAGCUCUGUUAAUCGGGACGCGGUACCGGAAUAGAAAGCCACGGCUAACUACGUGCCAGCAGCCGCGGUAAUUC